rnacentral:rRNA from 1 species
UACGUAGGGGGCAAGCGUUGUCCGGAUUUAUUGGGCGUAAAGAGCGUGUAGGCGGCUUUACAGGUCCGUUGUGAAAACUCGAGGCUCAACCUCGAGACGCCGGUGGAAACCGUAAGGCUAGAGUCCGGAAGAGGAGAGUGGAAUUCCUGGUGUAGCGGUGAAAUGCGCAGAUAUCAGGAAGAACACCCGUGGCUAAGGCGGCUCUCUAGUACGGUACUGACGCUGAGGUGCGAAAGCGUGGGGAGCAAACAGG